rnacentral:rRNA from 1 species
AUUGAACGCUGGCGGCAGGCCUAACACACGCAAGUCGAACGGUAGCACAGAGAGCUUGCUCUCGGGUGACGAGUGGCGGACGGUUGAGUAACGUCUGGGAAACUGCCCGAUGGAGGGGGAUAACUACUGGAAACGGUAGCUAAUACCGCAUAACGUCGCAAGACCAAAGUGGGGGACCUUCGGGCCUCACACCAUCGGAUGUGCCCAGAUGGGAUUAGCUAGUAGGUGGGGUAAUGGCUCACCUAGGCGACGAUCCCUAGCUGGUCUGAGAGGAUGACCAGCCACACUGGAACUGAGACACGGUCCAGACUCCUACGGGAGGCAGCAGUGGGGAAUAUUGCACAAUGGGCGCAAGCCUGAUGCAGCCAUGCCGCGUGUAUGAAGAAGGCCUUCGGGUUGUAAAGUACUUUCAGCGGGGAGGAAGGCGGUGAAGUUAAUAGCUUCACCGAUUGACGUUACCCGCAGAAGAAGCACCGGCUAACUUCGUGCCAGCCGCCGCCGUAA